ensembl:lncRNA
CUGGAGAUCAUUUCCUUUGGAGUUUUUCUGUGAGCCCAGGAUACAGGCGUUUGACUGUUUUCAAGUCAUUGUUAUGAAGAAUGUUUGCAGAAAAAACCUUGGCACUUGAUCUGAUUUCUCACAUUUCCCCCUCUGAACUCCACGCCCCUGAUGAAGAACCAGACAGGAACGGGACCGGCUGCUCUGUAUGGAGGAGGGCUACAGAGCAGUCUGUGAGAUGGUUCGCAUCACCACUUGCUGUACUGAAGGCAGCAGACAUAGAUGUUAAGCUCAGUGAAAAGAAACUGCAAUGCAGUGCAUCAGCAUCGGGAACAAUAAACAUAAAUCAGACACCUAAUAGUUCUUUCAGAGAAUUGAUUUAAAGUCUGGAUUAUUUCCCAUCCCGGGCAUGCAUCAUAUCCCCCAGCAGCAAACUGAAGAAACAGUGCUGUUGCUGCCACCUGGCUUCACUCCACAACUCCAGGGCUGGGAAAUAUCAGAAGUGAUUUCUCCAGGGACCCAUUCCGGAGCUCAAAUUAGCGAUGAACCAUAAACUGACCAAACAUAGGAUUUUGGACUGAAUUUAUGAUGGAUUGUCCCAAGUUUAAUUUCUAGUUCUGUUUUGUUGCUACAAACUUUCAACCCUAGAUUUUCCCCCAGGAUGUACCGUGACCCUAGUUACUACAGAAAUGUUCAUGGAUCAGAGACCCUGCAGUCAACCUUCUUGUUCUGACCAAUCAUUAACCAGGAGGAACAUUGUGGAGCUGCCGCUGCUUUUUCCUGAGUUACUUUAACAGACUGACCACAGGCAUGUUCCUUCGUCCUUAGAAGAGUUCCAGAAGAUUAGUCAGCUAAACCUGACAAGGCUUCUGGGAAGCUGGAAAGGACUUGGCUCAGCAUAUUAGGAACUAAGGUUAAUAUAGUGCUUCAAGGCACAUAGACUGAAUCUGGAAUAGAGCAGAAGACCUAACCCUUGGGAUACCAGAAGAGGAAUAUGUAUGGUUUAGAAGGAAGAACCAAGAAAUAUGGGGUCCCAGGGCUGGAAUGCCUGGAGGAUUAGAAAACAAAUGAUCUCUGAGGGAGCUUCAAUUAAAUCCACUUCCACAAUGGAUGCAGGCAGCUGAAGAGAAUGCCAAUGGCCAGUCAGAGAUACCCAACUUCUCCCAGUGGAUGGGUUGGCAAAAGCAGGAAGGACAAGGAGAAAUUGCUUAUAUGUGGCUUUUGGUUAUUUUGUGCUUGAAUUUGCAGUGGUUUUAAGUUUAGAAAAACACUGGAUCUGAAAAUGCAUGGACUGAAUCUGCACCCAAUUAUGACUAAUGUGUUAUAAGUACUCUGAUGGAGGCAGACACUGAAAAACUGCUGCAGUCAAACCUGUGAGUAGUAAAUACGUGCAGCCUGCUCUUCAGCCAUGACUUCGUAAAUGUUAUGUCACUAUGAUAUUUUGCAAAAACAUAUCUUUUCUAUUUGAAAUGCAAACUUGGGUGUCUUCUGUAAAACGCCUGUACAAUGAAAGCAGGGCACAAAGGAAAGGCCCUGAUCCUGUAGUAAGAAAGACUGCACUUUCGGAAAGGUAUUUUUUGCAUGAGAAUAGCGUUCUGGGUUGGGGGACCACUUCAUUAUUGAUGCAGACACUACUUGUUAGCACAGCCUCUUCCGCUGCUCAAGGAAGGCUAAUGUGGAAAACGCUGGCCUCAGCCUACCUCCUCCUUCCAGAUAAAACUGGAAUUUCAUUAACUUGUGAAGCAGUAAGGCAGAGUUCCUCAGGCCAAAGUGCAGCUCGGCAAGUCACUGCGUAAAGCAGAGGUGACAGUAGAAAAGUAGAAUAGAGGGAACAGUACUGAUGGCUACCAAUGCUCCUGCAGAGGUUGCUUUAGAUGGCCUCUGAAACAGCCAGCAACACAGCCUUGGCUUUUGGAGAACAGCGUCCUGCUGCUGCUGGAUGCUCCAGUCCCCUCUCGACGGAGGAGAUGCAGGGAAGGACUAGACCCUAAGGCAAAGAAAAGUGCAACUAGGAAAAAAAAAAAAUUUGGAAGUUUAAAUAGUGCUAAGAGUUACAGUUGUGUAACGGCUACCAAGCCUACACUACCGCUCUGAUGUUUGAGAAAGCAAGAUUGGAAAAGCAGUUUGAGUUGGCACACUGACUGUAUUAACAAACUGACUGUGCCAUUUUCAUACAGUUAUGUUGCUGAUUACCUC